rnacentral:piRNA from 1 species
UAGCUGGAUAUAAAAUUAACUUAAACAAGUC